AUUGAACGCUGGCGGCAGGCCUAACACAUGCAAGUCGAGCGAGCGGCCGACGGGUGAGUAAUGUAUGGGGACUGCCCGAUAGAGGGGGAUAACUCCUGGACACGGUAGCUAAUACCGCAUACUAUCGGAUAACCCAUAUGGGAUUAGCUAGUAGGUGAGGUAAUGGCUCACCUAGGCGACGAUCCCUAGCUGGUCUGAGCGGAUGAUCAGCCACACGGAGACUGAGAAACAGCCCAGACUCCUACGGAAGCAGCAGAGGGGAAGAUGGCACAAUGGGCGCAAGCCUGAGGCAAGCAGGCCGCGUGUAUGAGGAGGGCCCUGGGGUUGUAAAGGACUUUCAGUCGGGAGGCGUUACCGACAGAAGAAGCACCGGCUAACUCCGUGCCAGCAGCCGCGGUAAUAC
rnacentral:rRNA from 1 species